GCUUCGGCGGGCGGCCCCGCGAGGGGCCCGCAAGGCCCGCGAGGGCGCCCGCCGGAGGAGCGCGAACACUCUGUUUUCUUAGCGCCUCUCUGAGUGGAUACAGCGAAAUGAAUCAAAACUUUCAACAACGGAUCUCUUGGUUCUGGCAUCGAUGAAGAACGCAGCGAAAUGCGAUAAGUAAUGUGAAUUGCAGAAUUCAGUGAAUCAUCGAAUCUUUGAACGCACAUUGCGCCCGCCAGUAUUCUGGCGGGCAUGCCUGUUCGAGCGUCAUUUCAACCCCUCAAGCCCCGCUUGGUGCUGGGGCCCUACGUGCGCCGUAGGCCCCGAAUUACAGUGGCGGGCUCGCCGCGAUCCCGAGCGUAGUAGCACACCUCGCUCUGGGGCUCCGCGGCGGGCGCCGGCCGUGAAAACGACCAAACACAAACGCAAGGUUGACCUCGGAUCAGGUAGGAAUACCCGCUGAACUUAAGCAUAUCAAUAAGCGGAGGAAAAGAAACCAACAGGGAUUGCCCCAGUAACGGCGAGUGAAGCGGCAACAGCUCAAAUUUGAAAUCUGGCCUCGGCCCGAGUUGUAAUUUGCAGAGGAUGCUUUUGGUGCGGCGCCUACUGAGUCCCCUGGAACGGGGCGCCAGAGAGGGUGAGAGCCCCGUAUAGUGGGACGCCUAGCCUGUGUAAAGCUCCUUCGACGAGUCGAGUAGUUUGGGAAUGCUGCUCAAAACGGGAGGUAAAUUCCUUCUAAAGCUAAAUACCGGCCAGAGACCGAUAGCGCACAAGUAGAGUGAUCGAAAGAUGAAAAGCACUUUGAAAAGAGGGUCAAAAGCACGUGAAAUUGUUGAAAGGGAAGCGCUCGUGACCAGACUUGCGCCGGGCCGAUCAUCCGGUGUUCUCACCGGUGCACUCGGCCCGGCUCAGGCCAGCAUCGGUUCUCGCGGGGGGACAAAAGCCCUGGGAACGUAGCUCCUCCGGGAGUGUUAUAGCCCUGGGCACAAUACCCUCGCGGGGACCGAGGACCGC
rnacentral:rRNA from 1 species